rnacentral:lncRNA from 1 species
CUGACAUCUAACGCUUAGAAACUUUUUUAAAAUUUGAGUUUGACACAAAUUAUUAUUAGCCAUUCAGUAUUGGAUGAUCAAAGUUCUGAUGCGCACAAAAAAUAAAUAAAUUAAUUGAUCAUGUAAAAUCAAACCUUCAGUAUAGAAGUGAAAACGCAAGCUAGCGGGAGAGAAAUAAGGGGAAACCAAUAGAUGUACGAAGAGAAAAUUAGGAUCAAACGAAGAAUGCAUAUUUUCGUCAGAAUUCGGUGAGCAGCAGUCUCCAACAUAAAUUUUGAAGGGCAAAACCAUCCUUAAGGUUAUUGAAACGAACAUAAUCAGUAAAUCCAGAUCUCAACCAACAGGAGAUAACAAUUGCUAAAAUCUUGAAGAUUAUCUCUAACGAUGCUGCAAAUCACAACAAGAACGCAACUCUUCCUUCGUUAUACUUCCAUAGAAAACAAGAGCUAUAAUGGACCUGAAUAGGGCUUUCCGCAAUUCAAAAAGCUUUUUCAAUUAAAUAAUGCUUAAAUGUAGCCCAAUAGCAAAAGCAAGCCAACCAUCAAGUAUCUAGUAAUUAUUAGCUAGGUAGCCUGCCAAAAUUUUAACAUUAUUAAUACCGCAAGAAUUGAAAACUAAGAAUUGAGUGGAAGUCUUAGGCAACGAUCAAAUGUAGAAAAUAAACAGUUACCCAUAUCAACUCAUGUUUUAUCAUUAUAAACCGAGUUCAGAGGAGAAUACAAGGAGCCUGGCUUCUAAGGCAGAAUCUAUGUUUCAAUUCCAUCAUCUCACCAGAUGGUGGGGGCACGUCAUACUAUCACCAAUUCCAAGAUCUCAA